CAGCAGCCGCCACGGUAAUACGUAGGGUGCGAGCGUUAAUCGGAAUUACUGGGCGUAAAGCGGGCGCGGACGGUUACUUAAGCAGGAUGUGAAAUCCCCGGGCUCAACCUGGGAACUGCGUUCUGAACUGGGUGACUAGAGUGUGUCAGAGGGAGGUAGAAUUCCACGUGUAGCAGUGAAAUGCGUAGAGAUGUGGAGGAAUACCGAUGGCGAAGGCAGCCUCCUGGGAUAACACUGACGUUCAUGCCCGAAAGCGUGGGUAGCAAACAGGAUUAGAUACCCCAGUAGUCCCUGUCUCUUAUAC
rnacentral:rRNA from 1 species